UACGGGAGGCAGCAGUGGGGGAUAUUGCACAAUGGAGGAAACCCUGAUGCAGCGACGCCGCGUGAGUGAUGAAGUAUUUCGGUAUGUAAAGCUCUAUCAGCAGGGAAGAAAAUGACGGUACCUGACUAAGAAGCCCCGGCUAACUACGUGCCAGCAGCCGCGGUAAU
rnacentral:rRNA from 1 species